rnacentral:rRNA from 1 species
GACGAACGCUGGCGGCGUGCCUAAUACAUGCAAGUAGAACGCUGAAGGAGGAGCUUGCUUCUCUGGAUGAGUUGCGAACGGGUGAGUAACGCGUAGGUAACCUGCCUGGUAGCGGGGGAUAACUAUUGGAAACGAUAGCUAAUACCGCAUAAUAGCAGUUGUUGCAUGACAACUGUUUGAAAGGUGCAAUUGCACCACUACCAGAUGGACCUGCGUUGUAUUAGCUAGUUGGUGGGGUAACGGCUCACCAAGGCGACGAUACAUAGCCGACCUGAGAGGGUGAUCGGCCACACUGGGACUGAGACACGGCCCAGACUCCUACGGGAGGCAGCAGUAGGGAAUCUUCGGCAAUGGACGGAAGUCUGACCGAGCAAAGCCGCGGGAGUGAAGAAGGGUUUCGGAUCGUAAAGCUCUGUUGUAAGAGAAGAACGAGUGUGAGAGUGGAAAGUUCACACUGUGACGGUAUCUUACCAGAAAGGGACGGCUAACUACGUG